rnacentral:rRNA from 1 species
UACAGAGGUCUCAAGCGUUGUUCGGAUUCAUUGGGCGUAAAGGGUGCGUAGGUGGCGCCGUAAGUCAGGUGUGAAAUUUCGGAGCUUAACUCCGAAACUGCAUUUGAUACUGCGGUGCUUGAGGACUGGAGAGGAGACUGGAAUUCACGGUGUAGCAGUGAAAUGCGUAGAUAUCGUGAGGAAGACCAGUGGCGAAGGCGGGUCUCUGGACAGUUCCUGACACUGAGACGCGAAAGCGUGGGGAGCAAACAGG